AUCUCCUGCUAAAAUUCGCUGAUGUUUUGGUUUCUCCCUUUUCACCCGUUUUCAUUCUACCAGCCCUUUUAAAUCGCUCGCACGUUCUCCCUUUCAUAUUUUUCUUCCGUUUUCCUUCGAUCGUGUGUGAGCAGAACCGGAACAGAUCAGAGCACGGACAAGGCGAGGCAGAGCACGAACGAGGCGAAGCAGAUGAGAUUGAAGGCGGAUUUCAAUCUUCUGGGCUUUGAAAUUGGUGGCAGGUGGCAUAAACAGAUUUCAUCUUCUCAAAAAGGGAAAAAAAAAGCAACCAUAUGCCUCAGAGAGAGCGAGCGCGAAGAUUCUUCUCAGGGUGCUUUGGUGAAACGUCUUGGAUUUUGAGAAGAAGAAGAAGCUGAGGCGUCUUCCUCAUGUUUUAAGCAGGGUUCUCCAACUCUUUCGUUCCUCUUCUCCUUCUCUGCGCCGUUUCUCUCUAGGGUUUCGAAAAUGACAGAUUUGAGACAGAGGCUUACAAUGACCAGGUUAUUCCUGAUUUCGCCAUUUUUGCUUUAAUUCCUUCUCUACUCUGCACUGAUUUCGCCCGACACUUAUGCUUGAACAGGCGCCGACGAUCUGGAAUUGCCUUCAAAUUUCGGUUUUUAUUUUGUCCAGCAAUUAGAACUUCACCUCCCUCUGCUAUGAAAUUUUCCUUUCCACGUGAAAUCACUGUGUGGGUGGUUCUCUAACAGAACAGCUAUCUUCAGGAGUAAUGAUUUGGAAAUUUGCAAGCUUAUAGGUUUUUGGAUUUUAUCAUGCGUUGUGAACGUGAAGCACUAGAGCCAUUGGAUGGAUAAGGAUUGAAGCAAGAGUUAUGUGAAAACGGAGUGGUGAAGGCAGAGAAGGUACCCAGACAGCACCAUGAAGGUCAAGAAAUGGCAGUGAAGAAUUAAGUGUCAGUACAUGAAAACUGGCCUGCCAAUAGCUAUGCCCUUAUCCUUUUCUGUCCUUUUUUUUUUAUUCAGCAAGGUGUGGCAAAACCAAAGCAAUUCACAUUGGGCUUGAAGACGUAUAACGUAAUAUUUCUCUACUCCUCUUUGUGAAACAUUGAUCCGCUACUCUAUUAAUUAAUCAUUGGAGAAAUGCAUACCGGUUUUACAGUCGGCUCCUCGCAGUUUCGCCAAAGGUAUCAAAUUUGGUUCUUUUAUCAGAGAUUGUGAUUCAUUGUUUUGUUAUGGGUAUGCAUAGUAUUAGGGAGAGGGGCCUGAAGUUGUGUUUUCUUUGGUCUGCUUCAUAAUUUCGAUUCAUUUAGCUACAAAUAAUAAAUUACAUAACAUAUGAGUUGAGAAAAAAAUGUCCAAGCUAGAUGAUGAUGGCGAUUAGUUGAGCAGUGAUGGUGAUUAAUCUGCUUCAUAAUUUUGAUUCAUUUGGCUACAAAUGUUAAAUUACAAAAUAUGAGUUGAGGAAAAAAUGCCCAAGCUAAAUAUUAAUCAAUUAGUUGUGAUUUGGGAUGAGGUUGAAUGCCUUCAUUUUUUAAGAGACCCUUGAAUACAUGUACUUGAAUGAUAGCUGGAUCACUAAAUACGUGCUCUUCUGCUUUGGCAGAUGUCCAGAGGGACUUGAUUUGCAAAUUAUGAAAUGAUCAUCUGCUCUUUUUUUACAGUUGUGAAAAUUUCUCUUGGGAAAAUUUCUUUCUUGAAAAAAUAAUUAAUAGAAUUUGGAAGAACAAGCAGUCAAUUAAGAUGUUGAAUCUUAUCUUCGUGACUUCAGGUGAGUGUCUUUCCUUUUUUUCUUUGUUGUAAUUGUUGAAGAUGUGAGACCCUUGAUUUCCCUAGCUUACUGCUAAUGUGUGGUGCAUCAGAAAUGGGGCUUAACCCUUUUUGUAAUUUGAUAUUUGAUUUCCAAUUGGUAGCUACAUGUCAAUUUGUUUAUCACUGAAUUUUUUUUUUCUGCAUCAUGAUUAGUGUUUGUAUUCAAAAUUGUACCAUGAAAUUUGCAGUUUUUUUUUUCCCUUUUGCAGAUUAUUAGCUACACAACUCUGAUGUUGGAUGAACAAAUAAUGGGUUGCUGGAAAGUAAAAGAUGCUUAGCUCAGUAGUAUACAAUAUAAGAUCUAUUUUGGUUUGAUAGUCUUUUAUUAUGUAACAUUUAUCAUGUAUCACAUGUUUGAUAUAAUGACUUGCAGGGUAACUAUUUCCGGAUACAUAUCGGUUUGACAAUCUUUUAUUAUGUAACAUUUUUCAUGUAUUUUAUUUUCUUCUUGAGCUAAGACUAUAAAUCUUAAAUAUAACAUUUUAAUUCCAUGUUCGUGUUAGUUGCUUGCCAUAUGCAGAAAAAUUUACCCCAAAUUUGCCUGCAAGUAUGUUAGCAUUCCUUGAGUAAUUGCUAUUUUCGUGUAUAUUAUGGAACAUGAAUUGGGACCAACGGAUUUUUGGGGAAAAUUCCUUGAAUGCAUGUACUUGAAUGAUAGCUGGGAUCACUAAAUAUGUGCUCUUUCUGAUUUAGGUUGUCAUCACUUGGCAUUUCUGAAAUGGCAUCUCUUCAUGACCAGAUGAAGAGUGUGAUGGAUAUCUAAAAAAUCACCAACGAAUGAAGAUGGUUGCAACCUCCAAGCUACAAGCUGUCACCAUUGUUGAUUGUUUUGGUGUGUGUUCAAUGUUGUGAGAUCAAUUAAGAUGACGCAGCAAAAGAGAGUUGUAGAAAGGAGACUUUGGCCUCCAUUUUUGAUGUUUGGUUAGAUUUGAGUUGUCACCUAGAAGUUGUUUCUGAGUGACUUCACAAUACCAUUCAAGAUAGAACUUUUUGACAUAGAAAGUGGUUCGCCAUUAUCACCUCUCCCAUUUUAAACGGAAACUUUAUUUGACUAUUUCAUUUGGCUGCCUUGGUAUCAAGAGAGUCAAAGAAUUUUUCUGAGUACAAUAGGAAUUUGUAGUUCAGGCUCUGUAUUGUCACUAGCAUUAUGUAAACUUUUCAUAAAACCAUACUACCAUUAAGAUAA